rnacentral:rRNA from 1 species
AACGUAGGAGACAAACGUUAUCCGGAGUUACUGGGCGUAAAGGGCCAGUAGGCGGCCAACUAAGUCGGAUGUGAAAUCCCCAGGCUUAACCUGGGAACUGCAUCCGAUACUGGAUGGCUUGAAUUCGGGAGAGGGAUGCAGAAUUCCAGGUGUAGCGGUGAAAUGCGUAGAUAUCUGGAGGAAUACCGGUGGCGAAGGCGGCAUCCUGGACCGACAUUGACGCUGAACGGCGAAAGCUAGGGGAGCAAACGGG